rnacentral:lncRNA from 1 species
CCCUGCCUCAGAAAACACCCCGCACAGCCCCGGGAAUCUGCUCUGGGAUGGGGAGAGAAGUUGGAGAGGUCUCUGGAGCUAGACCCUGACAUGGUCUUGCACAGACUUGGACUCAAUGAACAUCUCUGCUUCUUCUUGCUCCAGACUCAGCUUCCUAGGACUGUGAAGGACCAAGGCAUCCAAGUGGGAUCACCAUUCAGUGCUUCUCACAAAAUGUGCCCUUUGACAAAGUACUUGCACAUGCGUAAUUCAUUUGGCACCCACAACAACCCUGUGGGAAAGAUAGUUUUUCCCCAUUUUUCAGGUGAAAAAACUAAGGCCAGAGGGGUUACAGAUUAUUUGUAUGAGGCAGGGUCUGGCCUGGAACACUUCUCAAGUCCAGCUCAACCACCACCAUUAAUACUCCGACAGGUUUCAAGUCCACUGGAUUGCCCCCAAGCUAAGUUGAUUCUCCUCUGCAAACUGGGGGUGGCAUCAUGCAAUGUCCAGAUUACCAUGUCCAGCUAAUUCUGGAAAUGGGAAGAGAGAAGACACGAAGAAGGAGGGUGGCCCUCAGUCUGUGCCAAGAGAGGUGGGGAAGGGGGAGGAAUUCUUGGCAGCCCCUUCCCACUGUGCUCUUACAAUGAGCUGUUCUUCGGGCCAGGGACUCGGCUCACUGUGCUAGAGAACCUGAACCAGGUGACCCUACCCAAGGUGGCUGUGUUUGAACCUUCGGAAGCAGAGAUCUCCCGCACCGAGAAGGCCACGCUCGUGUGCCUGGCCACAGGCUUCUACCCCGACCACGUGGAGCUGAGCUGGUGGGUGAAUGGGAAGGAAGUCCAGACUGGGGUCAGCACGGACCCUCAGCCCUACAGGGAGCAGUCAGAUGAUGAAAACCCCAGCUACUGUCUGAGCAGCCGGCUGAGGGUCUCUGCUGCCUUCUGGCACAACCCCCGCAACCACUUCCGCUGCCAAGUCCAGUUCUUCGGCCUCGCGGAGAACGAUGAGUGGAAAGAGAACCGGACCAAACCUGUCAGGCAGAACAUCAGUGCUGAGGCCUGGGGCAGAGCAGACUGUGGCCUCAGCUCAGUGUCCUAUCAGCGAGGGGUCCUGUCUGCCACCAUCCUCUAUGAGAUUCUUCUGGGGAAGGCCACCCUGUAUGCUGUACUGGUCAGCGCCCUCGUGCUGAUGGCCAUGGUCAAGAAAAAGGAUUCCUGAGACCAGCUCCAAAAGUGUAUCCUGGGUUGUUCUUAAUCCUUACCCUAGAGUGUCAUUUACGUGCUUCCAAUCUGUGUUCCUAAAGAGUUAUUCUCUGUCUACCUUUUAUCUCCUUUCUGCAUGUCUGUCCCUUCUCUCUGCUUCCCUGAAUCUGAAAUAGACUAAGGUAAUAAAAGUGUCAUGCUGGAUCUGGCCGUGUCUCAGGAGUGUCUAUGGAGUUCUGCCCUUCAAAGACCUACCUUCUGAUUUGGAGAAAGCAACACCCCUCAGGCAUAUGGAGUGACUGACCCACCCUCCUCUCUGAUCAAUGCUACUUCCUCCUGUUCAUCCUGAUGGAGGAUGGACCCCAUGGCUCAUACCCAGGCAUUUGGGAUCCCCAGCAUCUAGUGUUAGUCUGAAGGGCUUUAGGAGCUGGACUCUGGAAAACCUGCAUAAGGAUGAGCACAGGGGAACUACAGCCCCACCCUCAGCUUGGGACAGAGGACAGAGCAGACCUGUGGGGUUAGAAUGCCUGGCCAUUUCUCAAUUCCAGAUUCAAUUUUCAUUUAUUAUGCAUUUAGGUGUUAUCUCUAUCUGUUCUUAACAUCUCCAUCUUAUCUUGAUUUUAGAUUUCAACAUAAGAUUUAGUUCUACUCUGCAUAUCUAGGUUAGAAUCCCAAAGAAGGCACAGAGCUGAUACCACUGAUAUAUGAAGUCUAGAAAUUCCACAGAGGCAGGGCACAUGGGUCAGGCCCGGAGGAGGAAUGGAGAAGGGAACGGUCCAGUGGGGGCUGAGGUGCUACACCAAGUAGCCCUUCCAACAAGAACCUUCACUUGAUGGGAUGGAAAGCAAGCCACCCCAAAUGCAGCAUGUUAAGUGCAUCCACUUGGGCAGAGACAGUUACCUCACUAGAAUAAACUCUACAUGCGGGUUAUAUUCACUGUGGUAGAACACUGCCCUAGGGGAGGCAAGGGAUGCAAUUAGAGGACAUAGGCAUAGACCAGUGAAAAGGCCAUGUGCAAGUUACUUGAGGUUGAAUGUAAGGGGUGAGAAGGAAGUCUGAAAGCUGAGAAAGCGUGGGGAAGAUAGAGUCCCUUAUUGAUAGCCUGCUUUGUUCCAGACUUUAGGCUGGGCACUGGCACACGUGUUGUCCCUGUUAAUCCCCACAAUGAGCCUACAAGUGGGUAUGAUUCUCCCUACUUUAUAGGUGAAGAAACCACAGUUCAUAGAUCAAAUGACUGGCAAGCUGUGAAACUGGCCCAUUCAAGAAGCUUUUUCCAAGUAGUGGUCAGGACGAUGUGACUGUCACGGGGUGACCCUGGAGCAUCUGCUCCCAAACUCUAGCACGGGACCCAUGGUAAAGACUGAAGAGACCUUGAUUCCUGAGUGUAUUUGUUUCCUAGCACUGCAGUAGCAAAGAACUGCAAACUUGAUGGUUUAAACAAUAGAAGUGUAUUCUCUCACAGUUCCAGAGGCCAGAAGUCCAAGAUCAAGGUGUGAACAGGGCCAUACUCCCUUCAAAAGCUCUAGGGGAGAAUCUUUUCUUGCUUCUUCCCAUUCCUGAGCCUCCUGGCAUUCCUUGUCUUGUAGCAGCAUCACUCCAACCUUAUGCCUGUCUUCACAUCACCUUCUGCUCAUGUCUCUGUGGCUCUGAGAAUUUUCCUCUCCUUUUUCUGAUCAAGACACAAGUCAUUGGAUUUAGGAUACACCCUGAAUUCAGAAGGAUUUCAUCCUGAGAAACUUAACAUUCACAUCUGCAAAGAACUUAUUUACAAAUUAGGUCACAUUCUGAGGUUCUAGGUGGGCAUGAAUUUUGAAGGGACAAUAUUCAUCCUACCACACUGAGUAUCCAGGAACCAGACAUGGGGGGUUCUCUAGACCAGCUCACACAGCCAGGAAAGGAUGUGGCCCAGGGCAGGCGUGGCCCAGGAAACUCAUCACAUGCCUGUAACUUCCCAUCAGUUGUAAUUAUCUCUAGACUUCUCAGACUGCAGUAUGGUUUUUUAAGUGUUGUUGUUUAUUUGUUUUUAUGAUGCCGAAAAAAGUCCCAAAUCAAAGAAGACAGCGUUUAGGCCCUAAACCAGCACCCACAGAAGCAGUGCCUCCUCUUUUUUAGACAUGUAUCAUGGCUCCUCCCAAGGCUGGGACGAGGAAAUAAGCAGCUGAAGGGAAAAGCAAAUGCCUCAGAGAGAACAGGGCUUGUGCAGGCCAGAGGGGGUGGACUGGCACAGGGUGUUGGAGGCCAGGGGCUUGCACGAGCAGAGCUGUGAGCAGGGAGCUGACUAGCUGUAGGGCAAAGAUCAAGGUGGAGGUGGGGAGAGGAAGGUUACCCUCACAGAGGGGAAAUGAGAUCUGUGGGCUUGGUGACUGUCACCUUGGGGAUGCUGAAAGUAGAGGCAUUAGCAGGUGGGAGGAUGUGGGAAGACUGCUGGUCGGCACCUGGGGUUGGCCAAGGUGACGAACGAAUGUGGAGGAUAAAUGACUUGGUGCACUUCACUCUCUCACACCAGGAGACAUAAUAGAGAUGGAGAAAGUUACAGACCCCAUUUGGUCCCCACCCAACACCCUACUUGACCUAGGGAGAGUUUCCUUUCCCAAAUUUUUACAGCCAUUUCCUUGUCUCUCUCAGACAAUGCCACCCCCAACAUUCAACUCACAGGCACUGGCUGAUUUCUGAUUCUGAGGCUAACCGUAUUUAUCCCUCCAUCCUCACGCCACCUCUGAUGUCAUCAUUUGCCUUGUUUAUUCUUGUACAAGUGGUUCAUAAAAUUCAGAGCAAGAUCACAGCUCAACGUAAAGCCCACAUUCCCCUAAGCUUGGUCUGAGAUCCAGGAGCUGCUGAAACACAGAGAAUUAGCUUCUGGUCCUCCUCUGUCCCCAGCUGCAUGGCCCUGAACAACUCAUUCUUCUUCUCUGGGCUUCUAUAUCCUCCUCUGUGAAAUGAGGAAGUUGGGUAAAGUGAUGUCUAAGGAAUCUUCAAGCUCUGCUCUUCAGAUUCAGUGAUUCAAAGUCUACAAGCCCCAAAUCACCAGAAGGAGGGAACUCGGGGAAUCUAAGCUCUUCCCAGAAGCAAAUCAUUCAGACCUGUGACAUAGCCUCAGCGGGGGAGUGAUGGUGACCCCGGAAUCUCACAUUUAACAAGAGGCACCUGGAGCCCUGACACCUGCUCCCUGGCCCUCCUUCAGGAAAGAUAUCCAGAGCCAUGAAUGAGGAGAAGAAAAUGGUGUUUCAAGCAGGACGGCCUUGAAUUAAAGGCCAGGAAGUAAAGAGACACAGGUUGGGGUCUUUUAGGAGACAGCUGGGGAAGGGAGGGGGUGUCUGAGCAAAAUGUUGGCUGCCAGGCUGUUUAUCUCUGAGUAACAUCAGCACAAGUAAUAACAGCCACCCACCUGUCCCUAGCACCAGGUCGGGGACUCACAACAGGAUGUGGUUUGACAUUUACCACGUCCUGCAUCUGGGGCGCCUGUGAAAGUCCCUCCCCUACCCAUCUUCUGAGCACCUCAAGAACCACACUCACCACAUCCUGCCACCACCCCUUUGCAUGCUGCUCUUUCUACCUGGGCCUCCAGUGAGCACCCUGGUGGUGGAAAUAGCACUACAGAGGGUGGAGGGGUCUCUAGAGGGCAUCUGGGCUCCACAGCCCCACAAGAAGACCACCUCACCCCCCAAUAUAAUCCUACACCUGCUGGAGGUUACUCCCAAGAUCAGAGGCUUCAUGGGCUCCUUGGAGACAGUGAAGAAUGAAAAACAGCUGCAAUAACUGCUCUGACCCAAUUGAGGUCCCUUCUGGCCCCACAUCACUCAGGCAACUCCCUCCUCCCACCCUCCACACCCUCCCACUUCCCUCCACUCAUCUAAUGAAGGGCCCUAAUGAGUCACAGGAAAGAGAGCCCCAGAUAAUCAACAGACUGAAAAACAGACGGUCCCUGGAUAUGGGAGCCAGUGUGUGUGCCAUACUGACUGGGUUUCUCUAAGCGUCAUCCUCUGUUGCUAAGGCCUGUGAGGUUGUGGGAUGGACACUUUCUAUCCCAUCUGGGUAAGCGGAGGAGGGGGAACAUACGCAGGAGAGAAUGGAAAACUAGGGAGGCAGAACACCCCAAAGCAAGGAGCAGGAAAUAAGAGAAUAGAGAACAGGCCAAGCCUACUUCAUAGCAGCUCAAAAGGCUACAGCACACUCAACCCAGAGCACAUAAUCCCAGUCAAACCAUGAGGCAGCCCAAUUUUUAUGUCACCAGCUUCCCAACCCUGGGCUUUCUCAAGCUAUCUACAGGCUCCAAGUUCUCUCCCUAUAAAUCCCAUGAGUGGCUGAGAUCCAGGUGAGACAUCAAAGGGAGUUCCUCUGGCCACCAGAGGAACUUUCACGUGCCAGUGGCCAGGGAAUGACAUGUAUGGGAAUAGUCAUCCUGGCAUACCUACAAAGUCAGCGCCACAAACGGGGUCCUGGCAGCUCUUCUAGGAAACAGACAACCUCAUCUUCCCAAUGGGGCAAUUGAGAUUGGUGAAUUCCUGGCAAGAGACAGCAUAUCUGAUCAGCAUCUACCAUCCUGAGCCAGUUUCCUUUGUCUCCUGAAAUUACAAAACUGUAGAUUUUUUAGUCCUAGACACUAUGGAAACAGGGGACUAGGACUCUUAUUCAUGAAUAGGGCAGAUAACAUGGAGGAUAUUAACUCUUUAGAUGGCUUUCAAACCUCUCCUUACCUAUUAAUGUCUCCUGUCUCUCUAUUACCCUGUGCAAUGAUCAGGAUUGUUUACUCAGUGCUUUUCUGGAACUUACAAUGUUCACUAAUUCACUAAUUCCAAAUUUCUAUUCAAACUGACUCCUCUGUUGAGAAUGUCAUUUUGUUUAUCUAAAUGCUAGAACCCUAAAAACUACAUCUUGCUAAAAUUCUUUCUCCUUCGUGAAGUUUUCUAGAACCUUUCCAAAUUUUCUACAGGAAUGAAAAGUCUAUUUUAACUCUCCUACCAUCUCCACUUGACUAGUAGUGAUUACCAGAACACCCCUCUGUUAAGAAGGACUCUGAGGCUGCAUAAAACCCCAAAGGAAAAAAUCAAUGACCAAUAACUGAAUGGGCACAACAUAGGGUGCGUUUCAUGGGUUUGCCAUCCAAGUAUAUUCAGCAUUUUAAACUAUUUACUACAUAGUUGAAAAUCUAAUCUUUUAAAAAAAAAGUCUUUCUUUUGGGUAAGUUGUAAUCAAGAUAUCCUGUAAACUUAAAGAGACGAAAAUAAUAUCUUUUGAAAAUUAGACUCUGUAAUACAUUUAUAUGUUUAUAACAAACACCAUCUCAGGUAAAAGACUUAACAGUCCAACAAGAGAAGUUUGACAGAUGAGGAAAAUGAGGCUGAGAGAGAUUAGACAAUUAGCCCAAGGUCAUAACAACUGGUAAAUUUAGUCUCAAAAACUAAGUGCCUUAAAAAUAUAGAGAUAGUAAAAAGAUCAAUGGUCCCCAGCAUUUCGAGGCACAGAGGAGAGAGAUGAUUAGGUGAAGCACAGAUCUGUAGGCAGUGAAACUAUUCUGCAUGACACUGUAACGUGAAUACAAGCCAUGACCUAUUUGUCCAAAAUCAUAGAAAUGUACAACACAGAGUGAAUCUUAGUGUAAACGUAGAUUUUAGUUAAUAGUAAUACACCAAUUGUUGGUUCAUUAAUAGUAACAAACGUACCACACCAACGUAAGAUGUUAAUAAUAGGCAAGACCGGGGGAGGAAAUGGACAUUUAUGAGAGUUUUCUCUAUUAUCUGCUCAAUUUUUGUGUUAAUCUAAAACUGUUCUAAAUAUUCAAGUCUAUUAACUAAAAAUAAUCCGGAAGCACUGUUUCAAGGAGGGAUCUAUUUCUGCUAAAGUUCAAUAAUCAGCUAAUAGCCAGACACUGGCUUGAGAUAUUGUUUACUAUUAAAUGUGAGCCAAACUUAAGCUGUAAAUACCUUUUUACUUCAUAGCACUGCUGAUUGACUUAGUAAAUUAAAAUUUUCACAAAUGGAAAAAAUAACGAACCAAGUGGCUUCCCUAAACCAUACUGUGACUAUGCACAGCACCAUUUUAAUCAUAUUUCGUUUUUCUUUUUAAUCCCUGUGAUGGCUCAGAAUGCCCAGCCCACAAGAACUACUUAAUAUAUAGUUUGCUCCUUAAGGUGCAAUAGGGACCUGUGGGCAUUAUUAAAUACUGUCUUGAUCACUUUGGGUCUCUGUCUCAGAUUUUCUUCUGCAGAUUAAAUGAUACUGAAAAUAAACAUGUGUGAAUUGUCCUAGAUGAAGUGACGCCAGGAACAGAGUAUUUUAAGACUUCUUGUGCCCCCUCGUGGCGCAGAAGAGACUUUAGAAAAGAAAAUCCUUUUAGAAUAAGGAGGACAAGGGAGGGAGGAAGGCUAGAGGGAUGAAGAAGGGAACCAGGUUGCCAAGGCAACCAUGGCAUCUCUUCCCAGCCAUCCCCAUAAGCCUUUUCCUCUCCUUCAUUCUCAUCCAAAUAAUUUCUCUGUUUUGGGUUUUAACAUUACACGCACAUGCCCUCUUCAUCUGGUUUCUUAUAUCUCUUUGAUCACUGUCUGUUUCUCUGCUCUCUCUUUUGCUGCAAGAGAAGGGAUGAGAGACAGUAAAACAGGAAUAAAAAAA